rnacentral:rRNA from 1 species
UGGGGAAUCUUCCGCAAUGGACGAAAGUCUGACGGAGCAACGCCGCGUGAGUGAAGAAGGUUUUCGGAUCGUAAAACUCUGUCUUUUGGGGCGAACGUGAGUAUGGUGAACAAUCAUAGUCAGUGACGGUACCAAAGGAGGAAGCCACGGCUAACUACGUGCCAGCAGCCGCGGUAAUCGUAGGUGGCAAGCGUUGUCCGGAAUUAUUGGGCGUAAAGAGCGCGUAGGCGGGAUAGUCAGUCUGUUGUAAAAGUGCGGGGCUCAACCCCGUGAUGGCAAUGGAAACAGCUAUUCUUGAGUGCAGGAGAGGAAAGUGGAAUUCCCAGUGUAGCGGUGAAAUGCGUAGAUAUUGGGAGGAACACCAGUGGCGAAGGCGACUUUCUGGACUGUGUCUGACGCUGAGGCGCGAAAGCCAGGGGAGCGAACGGGAUUAGAUACCCCGGUAGUCCUGGCCGUAAACGAUGGGUACUAGGUGUGGGGGGUAUCGACCCCUUCCGUGCCGGAGUUAACGC